AUGCCCAGCACCUCCUCUCCACGACUAGGCACCGCUCCUCCUCCAAGCCCAGGCGCUUCUCCUCCUCCACGCCCAGCACCUCACUGCUCGCCCAGCAGUAGAUCCUCUACUUCUCACCUACAGAUCAAGAGAUCAGUUAAGCAGAGUAUCAGCCGCAGAUCAAUUGAUCAACACAGAGGACUAUCAUCUGUAGCAGAAGUAUCUGUAGGAGCAGUAUCUUCUGUAGGAGCAGUAUCUUCUGUAGCAGCAAUGUUAUCUCGUUUUCCUCUAUGUAUGGUCAUUGUCAGGAAAAAAUAUAUUAUAUGUUCGAUGUCUUCUUCGCCCCCCCUAUCGUCAAAUCCUGGCUCCGCCCCUGUAUCAGCAGUAUCUGUAGCAAGAUCAAAGAUCAAACUUUUUUUUACAUCAGAUCAAAGAUCAAACUUGCCCGGUGCCUCUGCUCUUCAGGUACAACGAUUUUAUGACGUUUUAAAACAUGAGCAAACUGAACAUCAUAACAUGUUUCACUUAGGAUGA
rnacentral:rRNA from 1 species